UCAUCUCCACCGGAAACAAGGCUCCUGGAGCACACGGCGGUCUCAUCAAAGGUGUGGGCCCGUCCUCCAGAGCCCCCUUGACACAAGCGAAAAGGUGCUUGGGGAAAGGUUGGGAUUCUCAGACGGUCACGGCUGGCACUCUGCUCAGCCUCUCUGUGUCUGUGUCAUAAGACAAGGAAUAAAUAGUCUCUUCCUGCUACUUUUCGUGGAGAUUAAGGCAGCAAAGGAGCCCAACAGGUGUGGGUUGUUAUCAUUAGAAGGUCAAGGGACCACACCUGUCAAACUCGAGGCUCUGAUGCAACCCAGGAGAAACUGAACUUCUCCAGGGAGAAAGUCCACGGAAUGGAAAAACGUUUGGAGAAGAGUGAACACUCUCCCCUUUGCCGGAAGAGAGUCUGAGAAGCGGUCUCAGACCUCAUCUGCAGGGAGGCAGCUCAGGAAGGUGCGCAGCGGCACGGCCGAGAGCAGGCAGGGGAGGCAAGGUGAACGCGGGUGCCUACAAGGGACACUGUCUAUUCAUCUCCCAUGAUUCCACAUAAUCCUUUAAAUAAACACAACAUGUUUCCAUGUGAGUAACUGUCUCAUUCCAUAGAUGUCUAAUCUGAAGGAAUAGUAGGUUUUUUUCUGGAAAAUUACAGAGGAUCGGAGAUCCUUCCUCCCACGCUUGGCUCCGCCCCGUGUAAGAUGGAGCACGUGGGUUUGUCGGCGCCGAGCCAGGGGAAGCUGACAGAGGCUGAGGCAAGGUACUGGCAGAGGAAGGGAAGGCUGGGGAAUGUCAGAGAAUGUUAUUCGGAAGGACAGACAGGCUUCUUUUGUCAAGGCUGCUUACUCCACACGUUCUUCCCAGAGGCUGAUUAAGUCCUGCAGGGAGAGAGAACCCACAGCCAAGAAAACAGCAUACACAUUACGGAAUAAAGCGAAGGAACACGUGUUUGUGCGUA